UAAAAAAGUUUUAUUCUUGCUUGAUAAUUUAUUAUUAAUAUAUUUUACAUGUAAAUUUUUGUAAGUUUAAAUAAUUUAUCUUAAAGAAAAGUUAAUUUUUAUUUAAUCCCAGUAUUUAAUUUUAAUUUUAAAAAAAAAUUUGAAUUAGUAAUAUUAUAUAGUAUUGGUGAAUAUCGUGCCAGCAACCGCGGUUAUACGAAAGAUACAAAUAAAUUUUAUUAGGAUAUAGUUAGUUGUUUAUAAAAAUUAUAUUAUAAAUUAUUGAGUGGAAUCUUAUUUUAUUAAAUAUUUUUAAAAAUAAAGUGAAGCUAUGAAAUUUAAUUAUUAGACUAGGAUUAGAUACCCUAUUAUUUUAAAAGUAAAGUAAUUACCUAGAGUAGUAAUAGUUAUAAUCUUGAAACUUAAAGAAUUUGGCGGUGUUUUAGUCUUUUCAGAGGAACCUGUUUCGUAAUCGAUAAUCCACGUUUUACCUUACUUAAGUUAUUAAUAUGUAUACCGUCGUCAUCAGAAUGUCUUAGAAGAGAAUUUAAUUUUCUUAAUUUAUAAUUAUAAUUAAUGUCAGAUCAAGGUACAGUUUAUAUUUAAGUGAAAAUGGGUUACAUUAAUUGAAUUUAUAUGAAUUAAGGAUUGAAAUAUUUUUAUGAAAGUGGAUUUGAUAGUAAAUAAAUAAAUUAUAUUUUAUUGAUUUUAGCUCUAAAACAUGCACACAUCGCCCGUCGCUCUCGUUAUUUAAAAUGAGAUAAGUCGUAACAUAGUAGACGUACUGGAAAGUGUGUCUAGAAAGA
rnacentral:ncRNA from 1 species